rnacentral:lncRNA from 10 species
CUCCCUCCCAUCCUCCCUUCCACCCUCCUCCUCCCUCCUCCUCCUUCUUCUUCCUUGUUGCUCCUCCUCCUGCCUGUCCCUCCCCAUCUCCCUCCUAUACUCCAUUCCUCUGCCCUCAUCCUUCCUCCUCAUCCUUGUCCCUCCUCACCUCCCUCCCAUCUUCCCUUCCUCCCUCCUCCUCCUCCUCCUGCCUCCUUCACCUCCUCCUAGUCCUUCCUCCUCCUGCUUGUCCCUCCCCACCUCUCUCCCUUCCUCCCUCCUCCUGCUUGUCCCGCCGCACCUUCCUCCCUUCCUCCCUCCUACUCCUGCCUCCUCCUCCUCCUUGUCCAUCCUCCUCCUCCCUGUCCCUCCCCACCUCUCUCCCGUCCUCCCUUCCUCCCUCCUCCUUGUCCCUCCUCCUUCUCCUUGUCCCUCCCCACCUCCCUUCCAUCCUCCUCUCUCUCCUGCCCCUUCUCCACUUUGAUCUGGAGCUGCUGCCCGGGCUGAUGCUGAGGGUGACUCUUGGUGACCAGACACUGCAGAUCAAGGCCAGCACAACUGAGCCCACAGUGCUGAGCGUGCAUCCCCCACGUGCAGCCCCCACAACUGCAAGAGGUGAAUGCUCUUCAUUUUGCAAAGGAGGAGGAUGAGACUCACGAGGUCAGGAAGUCUGGGACCAAGUCUCCCAAGGUGAUGAUCAGAGCCUCCAGAGUGGAUAAGCCUGUGGGCCCUGGAAGCUGACCUCUUCCAACUGCACCGACAGCACCCUUGAUUCUGCCAAUGGGGGUCCAGCAGGAAGUCGGGGGAGCGGAGGAGUGAGGCCAGGGGCUCUGUGGGGUCUCCCCAGACUGGCUGCUGCCCUGGCUGCUCUGGGACUGUGGGCGAGUUGCCAAGGCUUUCUGGCCAGAGGUGCACUCACCUCCGCAGCAGAACACACACUGAGGGCCGAAGCUCCUCCUCCUGCGGCACGGAGUCCCCACCUGUGUGCCGGUUUCCUGGAGACUCUGCCCUGCUACUUGGACCCAGAGGAAGGCAGAUGUUUGGACCAGGAGCUCUCGACCUUGCACAUUGCAGUCAGCGGGGGCUCCGCAGAGUCUGAUGCCCAGGCUGUACCCCAGGGUUUCUGCCUCCAGUGGUCUGAGGCGGGGACAGCUGCUAGGCAUUUAAAUGCUACCCUGGAAACUCCAAGGUGCACCCAGGACAGAGAACCAUGUGCUGAAAAUGCUGAGUGUCAGUGCGGAGGUGGGAUGUGCGAGGGCCAUGAUUUACCUCCACAGCCACAACAUGCCAGUAGCAUUUUUUCUAUAAAUGCAAAUGUUUUAGAUAGUAGUAUUCAAAUUAUUUGAAACAGGACUAUCUUUUUAAAAAAUAGUAUCCCUUUAAAAAUCUUUUUUUUUUUUCUUUCUGUGGCAGGGCCUCACUCUGUUGCCCAGGCUGGAGUGCAGCCACACCAUCUCGGCUCACUGCAGUCUCUACCUCUUGGGCUCAAGUGAUCUUCCCGCCUCAGCCUCCUAAGUAGUCACCACACUCAGCCAAUUUUUAAUUUUUUUUUUUCUGGAGAUGAAGUCUCACUCUGUUGCCCAGGCCAAAGUGCUGAGAUUACAGGAGUGAGCUACCGCACCUGGCCAAAAAUCCAAACUAAUAUUUAAUAAUAACAGAAUGGUUACUUCAUACCAGGCACUGUUCUCAGCAUUUUGCCUAUUUUGGCAUUUAAACUUUGCAGCAGUAGGCUGAGGUAAAAACUAUAGUUGUCCCAUUUUACAUAGGGGAAUAGAGGCAGGGAGAGGGCAGGUUGCCAGAGGCCAGGUCACUGGCUAGGACAUGGCUGGACUUUGGCUGGGAUUGGGGGGCAGGUGGGCUCCACACCUGUGCACAUAACCAGCCACACCCAGCCCUGCAGUGCCUUGUUACCAUCGCCUAAGCAGUGUGAUGCUUGACAGGAUAUGCUUGAGUACUGUUUUAUGAUCUCCAGUUCACAUAAAAAUCAAUAUGGAGGCCAGGCGCGGUGGCUCACACCUGUAAUCCUAGCACUUUGGGAGGCUGAGGUGGGUGGGUUGCCUGAGCUCAGGAGUUUGAGACCAGCCUGGGCCACCCGGUGAAACCCCGUCUCUACUAAAACACAAAAAAUUAGCCAGGCGUGGUGGCAUGCACCCGUAGUCCCAGCUACUUGGGAGGCUGAGGCAGAAGAAUUACUUGAAGUCGGGAGGCAGAGGUUGCAGUGAGCUGAGAUUGCACCACUGCACUCCAGCCUGGGCAACAGAGUGAGACUCCAUCUCAAAAAAAAAAAAAAAAACCAAUAUGGAAUAUUGAAACAAAAAGCUAUUCUGUACAUACUACUUAAAGUCAUUUGGCCACCAGAAACAGAGAUCUUGCUCUUUGGGAAAUAACGGGAUAGAAAGAGUGCUUGCAUGGGAAUUUGUUUCACAUUUGAAUACUAGAUCCGCCCCAUAGGCACGGGGCCUGUCACCUUCCUGAGUGCCAGGGUCCAAGCAGCUGUAAGAUGGAGAUAAUGACACAGACUUCAGAGGGAUCCUGAGAUGGGAGGUGAAAUGCUAACCAAAGCACUGAACAGGCUGGUUUCCUAGCAGAGGCUGCAGUUCUCAGCUAUUGGCGGCCAAUGGGGGUAGUAAAGGGGAUACCACUUUGUGAACCUUUUAACCUGGGCCUCUGUCAAGAUGGGAGGAUCAUUGACUGGUUAGUCUAUAAAUAGGGCCAAAGAGACCUAAGAGAAUUUCAUGGAAUUGUAACCUUCUGUCCUCCAAAUAAUCUCAAAGGCAAUAAACCUUGCUUGCAGAUCAAGGGUUUUCAAUGUUUUUAUGACCCAGCUCCCCUCUAAUGACUUUUCCGGCAUUUCCCAAACAUCACUGAGCCCCAAGCCCCC